GUGCUCGCUUUGGCAGCACAUGCACAUGCACUAAAACUGGAACAAUACAGAGAUUAGCAUGGCCCUCUGCACAAGGAUGACAUGUGUUCCCUAUUUAAAAAAAAAAAAAAU